AUGAGUAAGGGUCUUCUAGGCCCGAUCUCCAACCCUUUGUAUAACUACCAUGUUGCUUUGGCGGGCCCGUCUUUAACCGGACCGCCGAGGGUUUUAGUUAACUCUUGGCCAGUGCUCGUCAGUAGCCCACAUUUAAAUUCUUUUUAACCAUGUUAAAUCUGAAAAAUAGUUAAAUAAACUA
rnacentral:misc_RNA from 1 species